rnacentral:lncRNA from 1 species
AAUUUGCCCCCCCCCCCCUCAAGGUGCUGGGGCUGCUGCAGACGGCCGCCGCCAACCGCUCGGUGGCCCGCACGGCGCUCAACGACCGCUCGUCCCGCAGCCACUGCGUCUUCCAGCUCCGCAUCGAGGGCUCCAACGCCUCCCGCGACCUCCGCUGCGCCUGCUCAUGUUCGUCAACAUCUCGCCGCUGGAGGAGAACUUCGCCGAGUCGCUCAAUUCCCUGCGCUUCGCCAGCAAGGUGUGGGGGGAGUAGUAGUG